rnacentral:rRNA from 1 species
GAUGAACGCUGGCGGCGUGCUUAACACAUGCAAGUCGAACGGAAAGGCUCCUGCUUGCAGGGGUACUCGAGUGGCGAACGGGUGAGUAACACGUGGGUGAUCUGCCCUGCACUUCGGGAUAAGCCUGGGAAACUGGGUCUAAUACCGGAUAGGACGAUGGUUUGGAUGCCAUUGUGGAAAGUUUUUCGGUGUGGGAUGAGCUCGCGGCCUAUCAGCUUGUUGGUGGGGUAGUGGCCUACCAAGGCGUCGACGGGUAGCCGGCCUGAGAGGGUGUACGGCCACAUUGGGACUGAGAUACGGCCCAGACUCCUACGGGAGGCAGCAGUGGGGAAUAUUGCACAAUGGGCGCAAGCCUGAUGCAGCGACGCCGCGUGGGGGAUGACGGCCUUCGGGUUGUAAACUCCUUUCGCUAGGGACGAAGCGCAAGUGACGGUACCUGGAGAAGAAGCACCGGCUAACUACGUG